rnacentral:tRNA from 1 species
CCAUCUGUGGCUUAGUUGGUUAAAGCGCUUGUCUAGCGAAUACGGAGUCGUGGGUUCGAAUCCCACCAGAACGU